CUUGAUGAAAUCUGGGUUGGGAUUGUAUUUGGGUCAUCUGGGGUCAAAAACUAGAACACUAGGUAAAAAUCUAGGGUCACUAGGUUAAAUAAUAGAAAAACCUUGUGUAGACAAUGGAGGUCGCAGUUUUCAUCCAAUCUUUAAGAAAUUUAGUCAGAAUGUUUAUCUUGAUGAAAUCUGGGUUGGGAUUGUAUUUGGGUCAUCUGGGGUCAAAAACUAGGUCACUAGGUCAAAUAAUAGAAAAACCGUCAACAAUUUGUUUGUGUAGACAGUAGAGGUCACAGUUUUCAUCCAAUCUUUAUGGAAUUUGGUCAGAAUGUUUAUCUUGAUGAAAUCUGGGUUGGGAUUGUAUCUGGGUCAUCUGGGGUCAAAAACUAGGUCACUAGGUCAAAUAAUAAAAAAACAUUGUGUAGACAAUAAAGGUCGCAGUUUUCAUCCAAUCUUUAUGAAAUUUGGUCAGAAUGUUUAUCUUGAUGAAAUCUGGUUUGGGAUUGUAUUUGGGUCAUCUGGGGUCAAAAACUAGGUCACUAGGUCAAAUAAUAGAAAAACCUUGUGUAGACAAUAGAGGUCACAGUUUUCAUCCAAUCUUUAUAAAAUUUGAUCAGAAUGUUUAUCUUGAUGAAAUCUGGGUUGGGAUUGUAUUUGGGUCAUCUGGGGUCAAAAACUAGGUCACUAGGUCAAAUAAAAGAAAAACCUUGUGUAGACAAUAGAGGUCACAGUUUUCAUCCAAUCUUUAUGAAAUUUGGUCAGAAUGUUUAUCUUGAUAAAAUCUGGACUGGGAUUGUAUUUGGGUCAUCUGGGGUCAGAAACUAGGUCACUAGGUCAAAUCAUAGAAAACCCUUGUGUAGACAAUAGAGGUCACAGUUUUCAUCAGAUCUUAAUGAAAUAUUGUCAGAAUGUUUGUCUUGUUAAAAUCUGUGUUGGGAUUGAAUUUGGGUCGUCUAGGGUCAAAAACUAGGUCACUAGGUCAAAUUAAAAAAAAUAAUUGUAGACAGUAGAGGUCACAGUUUUCAUCCAAACUUAAUUAAAUUUGGCCAGAAUGUUAAUCUUGAUGAAAUCUGGGUGGGGAUUGUAUUUGGGUCAUCUAUGGUCAA